GACGAACCGUGCGAACGUUGUUCGGAAUCACUGGGCUUAAAGGGCGCGUAGGCGGCCCGCAUGGUCGGGGGUGAAAGCCCGCAGCUCAACUGCGGAAGUGCCUCCGAUACCGGCGGGCUAGAGGAAGGUAGGGGUGCGCGGAACUUCUGGUGGAGCGGUGAAAUGCGUUGAUAUCAGAAGGAACGCCGGCGGCGAAAGCGGCGCACUGGACCUUUUCUGACGCUGAGGCGCGAAAGCCAGGGGAGCAAACGGG
rnacentral:rRNA from 1 species